rnacentral:rRNA from 1 species
UGCCAAGGAAUUAAGUUAUAUAUGUGUGGUGAAAGGACAGUUAGAUGUAAAAUUUCGUUUUGGUCACUUAAUGUUUCAUAUAGGAGUAAAAUCUAAGUGUGAUUAUAAAAUCUAUAAGUGACUUCAAAGUUGAAUCUGUGAAAUCCUUAAGGGAAACUGGGAUUAGGUACCCCACUAUUUUUGGAUGUAAAUUAGAUAUGAUUUACCAGAGCACUAUGAAUGUAUAAAGAUUUAAAACUCAAAGGACUUGGCGGUGUUUUAGACCACUCAGGGGAACCUGUCUCGUAAUCGAUAAUCCGCGUUGCACCUGACCUCUUUUUGUUCUCAGUUUGUAUACCGUUGUCGUCAGGUAACUUUUUAGAAACUAGAAGUUAGCUAUAGAAAUAAUUGAUGGUUUAAUACGUCAAAUCAAGGUGCAGCUUAUAUAGAGGGGAGGAUGGGUUACAAUUAUAUAAUUUAUAAUAACGGAGAUAUACAUGAAUAUGUGUUAAUUAUAAGGUGGACUUGAAAGUAAAUUGAAAUAUAUAAAUAAUUUGAAUAAGGCUCUGAAACGUGU